UGCAUGCACUUGUGUGUACACAGAUCAACCAGCCUCCUACAUAGCAAUAGCCUCCAUCCAUGGACACCCAAUUUUUAAAAAUCCAGGCAGCCCAGGGAACUAUACUCUUUUUUUCCCCUCUCUUUUCUCUCUCAUUUUUUCCCCUAAAAAACAGCCUUUUUAAAACAUAUAUAUAUUAAACCAGGCAAGUUUUUACUCAUACGUUCAUGUGGCUGGAGCAGAUUGACAAGAAAAACAAUCACAAAAUAAAUAUUUUUUGUUUUUUUGUUUUUUAAAAAGAACAUUUCCUUAUACAUUGUCUCUAACUUGACAGAGCUGCUUUCUUGGACAGAACAGAUGCUGUUGGGAGAGGAGCUCUGGCUGGACCACAAGGGGAACGUGGAGCCAGCCAGGCCCUGACAGACACUGGGGAGGCCAAGGAAGCAAGGGGGCCGAGGGAGAGGGAGGGCAGCAGGGCUGCCUGGCUGCCCUGAGUGGUCCUCCGUGGGUGUCGCUUCCUGUUUCCCCAAGGGAGCUGGCUUGAGGAACGGUCUGUGUCUGGAGGGCUCAGAGGAGGCAGCGAACAAAAAGUAAGAACCACUGUGGGGAAUCAUGAAACAACGCCAUUUAAGAAAUCUGGCUAAAAAGAAUACAAAAGUGACUCCACGGAGGGGGAGGCGGUGCUCCCACCUCUCCCAUUGUUGUUCCCUCUUGCUUUCUUGAAUGCUGAGAAUCACUUUUAAGAAUUUGUGUGUUGCACAGUUGGGCUGGUUCCUUUUCUGAAGCUCUCCCUGGCUCCCUCUCCUACAACUGCAUUCAUGAGAAAGCACCGGCUUCACAGAUACGAGGCUGCUGAGUGCUCGCCUCCCCUUGUGAAUGUGUGCGCGUGUGCACACGCGUGGUGUGUGCAUGUGUGCGGCGGCUGUUUUCUUCUCUCCUGCCUGCUUCAGUUCAAGCCCCGAGUCCCAUCUGCUGGGUGCAGUCUUAAGGGAACACCCCGUUGGCACUAAGGGUUUGGCAGCUUGGAGUUGAAAGCCCUCAGAGACGACUGGAUCCUGCCCACCUCAUUGUUGGCCAGUUUGAGCCGAUGCCGGAGCAAGCAGGAGAAAAGGUCAAGCCGCACCUUGCCAGAUGCAACUCAUAACUGAGAAUGACACGCAAGUAUGUCAAGAUAAUAGGAGACGCUAACAGGCCGUGUGUGCGUCAGCAUUCCCAGCUCUGCUGUGUUGGACAGGGGCCCUCCCCGGCCUCAGUGGCUGUCAUGGGUGACGCGCUCUGGCUCGGGCAGCUGGGGCGCUCACCUCUCCUUGGGCAGGCGGAAGCGGGGCUGCCGGUGACAGCGCUUGCAGAGGUUGAAGAGCCGGCGGACGAUCCGAUGGGUCUUCUUGAACAGCACUUUCAAGCUGACUCCCAGCUGCUGGUAGCGGUGCUGGAGGCUGGUGUCCAUGGCCCAGAACUGGGAGAUGGCUGUGGAGUUCAGGAACCUGUCGUCCGGCAGCCGCUUCAGCAGGGCCUGGAAUUCCUCUGUGGGUAAGAACACGAGAGCUGAGCUGAGGGGCACCUGAAUGGGUGCCCAUCAGGAGGACCUCCCCCUCCCCCCAGACCCAGCCCGCCCUUCAGUCACUGUAUGAGAAAGGAGGCUUCACAUCCACCCUCCCGGGCCCUUCUAUUUCUUUCUUUUCAAACAUCCUUAUCAGAGAUGAUUGACAUACCUUAAGAUAUGGAUUCUUUCCCAACCUUCCUGUUUCUAAUAUGCUUCUGAAUUUCAAAACACAUCUCUGUCACCACCCACAGAGCCAAUGACCUUGGGAUGCAUCUCUCUUGCCCUUUAUACCGCCUUAUAAUUCAUGCACAAUCUUCUUCAAUCACACCACCGCACCCUUAGGGAAGGUGUGAGGCAUUCAUGAAGGUGAGGGCGGACAAGACUGGCAAAUGCAGACACAGAAGAGGGAGCACCCAGCUCAGAAGUCUUCUUAGAAGCCUUUCAGUCCCUGAGACCAGCCUCUUCCCUCCAUGUCCUUCUCUCUGACUCUAGGACACCUUUCCUCUCUUGAGAUUUACCUCUUGGCCAGACACCCAUUCUUUCUUGAAACUAACCCGGAAGCAAUGUGCUUUCUGGUUCUUAGCUCCUGCUGCAAGUCUGAGUCCUCCUCAGAGCUUCCUGGGCACAAUGUGUUUUCUGAAUUCACGCUCAGAUCUCUGUCUAUGCACCUGCUUUUACUUGGAACCUGCAGCCAUCACGUCUCCUGAUGGGGGUCUGGACAGUCCUCCUUCACUCACUGGCAGUAAUCCAUAGUGCUGAAAGCCCAAAGUCCUUUCCCACACCCUCUAGCAUUACCUAACGCAUCCCACCACCAUUGGUCCAAUGCAGCUGGGGGGCCGGAAUAUGAUACUCUCCUUAGCCACUGAAUGCCUUGUUUAAGACCUGAGAUGGCAAUGCCUGGAGCCUCAGUUCAUUCUGAUUUCUCAAGUCCCUGGUUCUUCAUCCCCCACCCAGAUGACUGGAAAAAUUACACCUAGUAAUGACAUUAACAACUAGUAGUGUGUGCAUAGUUCUUUUUAUGAAACACUUAGGUAUACAAAACAGCACAGAGAAUAACAAGAUAAACUCCCAUGUGCCCACCACCUAGAGUUUGCCAUUUUGCCAUAUUGAAUUCAGAUUUUUUUAAAAAAGAAAUAUGGCAAAGCAAAUAUACUUGAAGGCCUUAAACUUCCCCCUCCAUCUUUAUCUAGAUGUAACUACUCUCUUGAAUGUUUUAUUACUAUCAUAUAUUUUUUAACGUUUUCUAAAAAUCUAUUUAUCCAUAAAAAUACUAAGUAUU